GGAAGGGUCGCAUAGCGGCCUAGUGCGCUUGCUUGGAAAGCAGGUAGGGGUUUAUAGCCCCUCGGGGGUUCGAAUCCCCCCCCUUCCG
rnacentral:tRNA from 1 species